GAUAGGUCGGAGGUGUAAGCGCAGCAAUGCGUGCAGCUGACCGAUACUAAUAGGUCGAACGCUUGACCAA
rnacentral:rRNA from 1 species